rnacentral:rRNA from 1 species
UACGGAGGAUGCAAGCGUUAUCCGGAAUGAUUGGGCGUAAAGCGUCCGCAGGUGGCUGUGUAAGUCUGCUGUUAAAGAGUCUAGCUCAACUAGAUACAAGCAGUGGAAACUACACGGCUAGAGUACGUUCGGGGCAGAGGGAAUUCCUGGUGUAGCGGUGGAAUGCGUAGAGAUCGGGAGGAACACCAGUGGCGAAAGCGGCUCUCUGGUCCAAAACUGACGCUGAGGGGCGAAAGCGUGGGGAGCGAACGGG